rnacentral:rRNA from 1 species
AGAUUUGAACGCUAGCGGCAUGCCUAACACAUGCAAGUCGGAACGGUAACAGGCCCUUCGGGGUGCUGACGAGUGGCGGAACGGGUGAGUAAUGCGUAGGAAUCUACCCACGAGUGGGGGAUAGCCCGGAGAAAUCCGGAUUAAUUACCGCAUAUGGCCCCUACGGGGUAAAGGCGGGGGAUCGUAAGACCUCGCGCUGGUGGAUGAGCCUACGUCCGAUUAGUUAGUUGGGUGGGGUAAAGGGCCUACCAAGGUCUACGAUCGGUAGCUGGUCUGAGAGGACGACCAGCCACGACUGGCACUGAGAUACGGGCCAGACUCCUACGGGAGGGCAGC